CUUCAAGCUGGUGAUGGAGUCUUUGGCGCGGACCAAUCCACUGUUGACCCCACUCUGGGGAAGAAUGGGAGACAGGGCUGUCUUGGACCAGCAGAUAGAGGACACAACGAGACAGAAGGAGCCUGAAUCCUUGACAUGGAGCCACCAUACUCCAUUCCAAUCACCUGUGAAGACUUUCAGGGUGAGACAUUACAUCUUCUGUGUUAUUCAAGCUGUGUUAUUUUGUGGGGUUUUUGUUUUGUUUUGUUUUGUUUUGUUUGUUUUUUUACAGUAGUCAAAUGUAUAACUUCAAUAUCAUUGAUGUUCUUAUUUCACACUUGAAGGGAAAGAGAGGCAGAGAGCCAUCUGCCAGCUGGUUAUGACCAAUUCCAGCCAGUGGAAGGGAAGUGGGCACU